UUGACUAUAUCACACUCCCACGAACCCACUGAGGCAAGUGCCAUGUUCUUACAAUGGUGGAAACAACCACUGGAUGGCUGGAAACAUAUCCUGUAAACCAUGCCACUGCCUGAAACACCACCUUAGGCCUUGAAAGGCAAAUGUUAUGGCAACAUGGUACCCCAGAAAGAAUUGAAUCAGACAAUGGGACUCAUUUCUGAAAUAACCUCAUAAGCUCCUGGGCAAAGAAACAUGGCAUUGAGUGGG